ACGAACGCUGGCGGCGUGCUUAACACAUGCAAGUCGAGCGGAAAGGCCACUUCGGUGGUACUCGAGCGGCGAACGGGUGAGUAACACGUGAGUAAUCUGCCCCUGGCUUUGGGAUAGCCACCGGAAACGGUGAUUAAUACCGGAUAUGACACAUUCUCGCGUGAGUUUGUGUGGAAAGUUUUUCGGCCAGGGAUGUGCUCGCGGCCUAUCAGCUUGAUGGUGAGGUAAUGGCUCACCAUGGCUUCGACGGGUAGCCGGCCUGAGAGGGUGACCGGUCACACUGGGACUGAGACACGGCCCAGACUCCUACGGGAGGCAGCAGUGGGGAAUAUUGGACAAUGGGCGGAAGCCUGAUCCAGCAACGCCGCGUGAGGGAUGACGGCCUUCGGGUUGUAAACCUCUUUCAGUACCGACGAAGCGCAAGUGACGGUAGGUACAGAAGAAGCACCGGCCAACUACGUG
rnacentral:rRNA from 1 species